rnacentral:rRNA from 1 species
ACUACGGGGGCAGCAGUGGGGAAUAUUGGACAAUGGGCGAAAGCCUGAUCCAGCCAUGCCGCGUGUGUGAAGAAGGCCUUCGGGUUGUAAAGCACUUUCAGUGGGGAAGAAAGCCUUGGGGCUAAUACCCUCGAGGAAGGACAUCACCCACAGAAGAAGCACCGGCUAACUCCGUGCCAGCAGCCGCGGUAAUACGGAGGGUGCGAGCGUUAAUCGGAAUUACUGGGCGUAAAGCGCGCGUAGGCGGUCUGAUAAGCCGGUUGUGAAAGCCCCGGGCUCAACCUGGGAACGGCAUCCGGAACUGUCAGGCUAGAGGGCAGGAGAGGAAGGUAGAAUCCCCGGUGUAGCGGUGAAAGGCGUAGGGAUCGGGAGGAAUACCAGGGGCGAAGGCGGCCUUCUGGACUGACACUGACGCUGAGGUGCGAAAGCGUGGGUAGCAAACAGGAUUAGAUACCCGAGUAGUC